AUGGGCCCAGCGGACUCAAGGACCGUCUCACAGGAAGAGUUGCUUGCCCAGCUCUGGAGUUACUGUCGGAGCAUUCUCCAGGGGGCAGAUCCUCAUCAGAGACACUUACAGGUCGUAUUUUUUGAUUCCUUCCUAUCAUCAACCACCUUAUCUGUGAGCUUUUUGGACACUAAGAGACUAAUUUCGAUUAUAACCAUGCUGAGGGCAAGUUCCUGCUUUGAGCUUUUUGGUUUUGGCUGUCCGGGCGAGGAGGAUGUGGCGACCUCCCUGGAAGCCCUUGCUGCCUAUUUGUUUUUUCAUAGGCAGAUAGCUUCCCCACCGUCGUUUGCGGCUCACUUGUUGGACCCUCCAUUGCGGGAGAAACAGUUCACACGCCCUCUGCACCUCACCACAUCUCCACUCACCUCCGCGGCAUCUGCUGAGUCAGCAGACAAAGGACCGGCAGCUCAAAACCACACAGCUGCUCUCCUGUCCGGCCGACUGGUGGAACCUCAGCCUGUCGCGCCGGCCCCGGCAUCAUCAAAGAAGCGACGCUUGCGCCGCCCCUCACCGCCGCCAGAUUCCCUGACUUUCCCUCAGCCAAUUGUGGUGAGUCAUAUGGACAAUUCAUCUUCACUCACCUCAUCUGUUUAUUCACUGGACUGUGUGAACGCUAACCUCGUAGCACAGCCUGUAGCCCUUGCACAGCCUGUAGCAGCUGCCCAGCACGUAACUCAGUCAGCUGCCCAGCAAGUAACUCAGUCUGCUGCCCAGCUAGUCACUCAGUCAGCUGCCCAGCACGUAACUCAGUCUGCUGCCCAGCUAGUCACUCAGUCUGCUGCCCAGCACGUAACUCAGUCAGCUGCCCAGCACGUAACUCAGUCAGCUGCCCAGCACGUAACUCAGUCAGCUGCCCAGCACGUAACUCAGUCUGCUGCCCAGCACGUAACUCAGUCUGCUGCCCAGUCAGCCUCUCAUCUUUAUCCUCAGUUGGAGGUCGAUAGGCCUGCCGGACCUACUCUGCCAUCAUUUCACCCGGCUGUUGUUCCUGCAUCGCUGUCCAGUCUACCAUGA
rnacentral:lncRNA from 1 species